GUUAUCACUCAGGGUAUUUUGGGCCCCCAGGUUCAUGGACCCCUGCAGGGCUGCGGUUCACCGGGAUGACAGGCCCUCAGCCCAUCAUGUGCAAGAACGGUGGUCAAGGGAGCAUGGUGUGAACACUGCUGAAUCCUGGAAGGAUGGAGAGACAGAUGAACAAUGGCUCAUCGGCGACACCUGGAGCCGAUUAAGGGGGCAUGGCAUAAGAGGGCAUCCCGGAGACCACACCGUGCGGAUCCUCCUUGGAGCAACAGCAGUGUCUGUCCUUUGGUUUCUUCUGAUGUACUUAUCUUUCCUGGUUUUGACUCUUGCUUUCUGUUUUGCCCAACUAUGUCCCUGUCCCAUUCCCUGGAUAACAUUUGCUGUUCGCUUGACCUGUGCCUGUCCCUGGAUUUUGCUUCUGACUACCCCUUUGGAUUUUGUUGCCCUUCGAAUGAAAGACGAGCACGCACUUGAGUCCGU